rnacentral:tRNA from 1 species
GCUCGUCUGACGGAAUGGUAGACGUGCCAGCUUGAGGAGCUGGUGCCCUUCGGGGCGUCCGGGUUCAACUCCCGGGACGAGCA